UGGGGUGUAGCUCAGUGGUAGAGUGCCUGCCUAGCAUGCACGAGGUCCUGGGUUCAAUUCCCCAUACCUCCA
rnacentral:tRNA from 1 species